GCGCAUGCGCAGACCCAGCGGCGGCCGGCUCCGCCCCGCGCCCACUAUUUAUUCCCAGAAUCCCUCUGUGUCGCACCAGGAGUGCCGGAUCCUUCGGGGACUGCGGGGUCGGGGGCGGCGGCGUCAAGAUGGCGGCGGCGGCGGUGGCGGCAGCAGCAGCGGCGGCUGCGGCUGCAUCUCUGCAGGUGCUAGAGAUGGAGAGCAUGGAGACGGCCGCCGCCGGCUCGGCGGGGCUGGCCGCCGAAGUCAGAGGCAGCGGCACGGUGGACUUCGGGCCUGGGCCUGGCUUGUCUGCAAUGGAAGCGAGCGGGGGCGACCCGGGCCCGGAGGCCGAGGAUUUCGAGUGCAGCUCUCACUGCUCGGAGCUGUCAUGGAGGCAGAACGAGCAGCGGCGCCAGGGCCUCUUCUGCGACAUUACCUUGUGCUUCGGCGGUGCGGGAGGCCGCGAGUUCCGGGCCCAUCGCUCGGUGCUGGCCGCCGCCACCGAGUACUUCACGCCCCUGCUCUCGGGCCAGUUCUCCGAGUCCCGCUCGGGCCGGGUGGAGAUGCGCAAGUGGAGCUCCGAGCCCGGGCCCGAACCCGACACGGUGGAAGCUGUUAUCGAGUACAUGUACACCGGGCGCAUCCGCGUCAGCACGGGCAGUGUGCACGAGGUGCUGGAGUUGGCCGACAGGUUCCUAUUAAUUCGUUUAAAAGAAUUUUGUGGAGAAUUUCUCAAGAAAAAACUUCAUCUGUCUAAUUGUGUGGCCAUUCAUAGUUUAGCUCACAUGUAUACUCUAAGCCAACUUGCUCUGAAAGCUGCGGAUAUGAUACGGAGAAACUUCCACAAAGUAAUUCAGGAUGAGGAAUUUUAUACUUUACCUUUCCACCUCAUUCGAGACUGGCUGUCAGACUUGGAGAUUACAGUUGAUUCUGAAGAGGUUCUAUUUGAAACAGUUUUGAAAUGGGUUCAGAGAAAUGCUGAAGAGAGAGAGAGAUACUUUGAAGAACUUUUUAAAUUGCUCAGAUUGUCCCAGAUGAAACCUACUUACCUUACUCGUCAUGUCAAACCAGAGAGGCUGGUGGCCAAUAAUGAAGUUUGUGUCAAGUUAGUGGCCGACGCAGUGGAGAGGCAUGCUCUUAGGGCCGAGAAUAUACAGUCUGGCACGUUCCAGCAUCCUGCUUCUCAUGUCUCAUUAUUACCUCGCUAUGGGCAAAACAUGGACGUGAUCAUGGUUAUUGGAGGCGUGUCAGAAGGAGGGGACUAUUUAAGUGAAUGUGUGGGAUAUUUUGUCGAUGAGGACAGAUGGGUAAACCUACCCCAUAUUCAUAAUCACCUUGAUGGACAUGCUGUUGCAGUAACAGAAUCCUACGUGUAUGUUGCUGGGUCGAUGGAACCAGGGUUUGCUAAAACUGUGGAAAGGUAUAACCCAAACUUGAAUACCUGGGAACACGUUUGUAGUCUGAUGACAAGGAAGCAUUCUUUUGGACUAACAGAAGUCAAAGGGAAGCUAUACAGCAUUGGAGGACAUGGCAACUUCAGUCCUGGUUUUAAAGAUGUGACUGUUUAUAAUCCCGAGCUUGAUAAAUGGCACAACUUGGAAUCAGCACCAAAGAUUCUUCGAGACGUUAAAGCACUAGCCAUUGAAGACCGGUUUGUGUACAUCGCUGCCCGCACUCCUGUGGACCGGGACACUGAAGACGGAUUAAAGGCUGUCAUCACUUGUUAUGAUACGGAGACUCGACAGUGGCAAGAUGUGGAAUCUUUGCCACUUAUUGACAAUUACUGCUUUUUCCAAAUGUCUGUGGUCAAUUCAAACUUUUAUCAGACAGCCUCAUGCUGUCCCAAGAGUUAUUCUUUAGAAAAUGAAGAGGCAGUAAGAAAAAUUGCCAGCCAAGUUUCCGAUGAGAUCCUUGAAAGCUUACCUCCAGAAGUCCUAAGCAUCGAAGGAGCGGCCAUUUGCUAUUACAAAGAUGACGUUUUCAUUAUUGGAGGCUGGAAAAACAGUGAUGAUAUUGACAAACAGUAUCGGAAAGAAGCUUACCGGUAUUGUGCCGAGAGAAAGAGGUGGAUGCUUCUUCCUCCCAUGCCACAGCCUCGUUGUAGAGCUACUGCCUGCCAUGUGAGAAUCCCAUACCGGUACUUGCAUGGCACUCAGAGAUAUCCUAUGCCUCAAAACUUAAUGUGGCAGAAGGACCGGAUCAGACAGAUGCAAGAAAUACAUCGACACGCCCUAAACAUGCGACGAGUGCCAAGCUCUCAGAUAGAAUGCUAGGUUCUCUGAUAUGUGCAGCUCAAAACCAUUAUACCUGUUCAUGAGGCUGAAGAUACCCAGACUGUUACUUGAAAAAGUAUGUCAAUAACUUAUUUUCUACAUGAACUGAUUAUCGCCCCAUAUAAAGGAGAUAUAGUCAAAAACUGAAGAAUGGGAAGAUCAAUUCAAUACAUGAAUUUAUGCAUUGAGCCGUCAUCUACAGGAGGUAUGUGCAAUAGUGAGAUUGAAAUUUGAAGGGAAAAGCACAAUAUUUCAGCAAGGUGAUUUCAGAAUGUUUGCAUUGAUACUUUUUUAUAUUUGUUUAUCUACAAAUGCUGUCUUGUUUAUUUCUAGAAGAGAUGAUUGAUAAGAAAUUUGUGAUUGGCUCAUGCAUUUUUUGAGUAUUUUUCAUUUCUUUAGCAACUGUGUUAUAAACUUCAAGUCAUCGCUCUGAGACAGUGGUAGUUGGCAAGAGUACUGAUCUUUAGCUGACUGAUUGAAUACAGAGGAAGUCAUAUCUGUGAGAUUUAUUUCUCUAAGAAGAAAAGUAUGAUUAGUCUAGAGUAAGAAAUCAAAGGCACUGAAAAAUUUAAAAACGCUUUUUUCGGGAGUUGCAGGCUUAUUUGAAGAUAAAUUAAUGAGUGUAAAUAAUGCCCAUGACAAUCGACACAAUGCCUUCAAGUUUAACUUUUGCUCUGACGCAUAUUGUAUGGAAUCCUUACCACUCCUUUCUAAAAGAAACUUUCUUCAAAAUGGGAAGGAAGUAACAAUUUAGAGAAAUGUUGCUAAAGAGAAGCCGCCUUAUUUCUCAGCCUGGAUUAUUACAAUGUUUUAUCCAGUUGCCCUAGACUUUCAUUGGAACUUUGCCUGAGCCUAGAAUACUACAUUUGGGCGCAUAAUUAUGGCUCUUAAAAAUUUAUCACUAUGGUUAUCUGUUAUUUAUUUUUAUGCAUUCUUUUGAUAUUCUUAUCUGCGCCCAGGCUUUAGGCAAAUUAGCACUUAGGUUGACUUUUAGCACUCAGUUAACAUAAGGGACUCCUGCUCUAACGGUUUGAAGUGUGGGUCCAGUAUAAUUUUCUUGUUUCUUUCAGAAUGUCUCUACCUUCUUAGACAUUCUGGAAUACCAUUCUAGAAGGUGAAUUCCAAGUACGGUGAUUUUUUUUUUUCCCUAGUCCAUUAUAGUUAAUCUUAUUAGUUGGAUCAAACAUCAAAAGGAAAAAAAGCACAACCAGGAAUUUUGGCUCUCAGUGUGCUGUGAGGCUAUUAAUGUUUAGCCCUUGGACUCUAUACUAAGAACUUAACUGAAAUUUCUGAAUUGGUAUCCCUGCCUAGGACAAAGUUUUUCAAUAAUGUGUUGGAAAUCUGCUUUAAAACCAUUUAAUUUAGGCCGGGGUAGGGAUGGGAGACUGCAAGUCUAUUUCUUUCUUUUUUUUUUUUUUUUGCGAUACGCGGGCCUCUCACUGUUGUGGCCUCCCCCACUGCAGAGCACAGACUCCAGACGCGCAGGCCCAGCGGCCAUGGCUCACGGGCCCAGCCGCUCCGCGGCAUGAGGGACCUUCCCGGACCGGGGCACGAACCCGUGUCCCCUGCAUCGGCAGGCGGACUCUCAACCACUGCGCCACCAGGGAAGCCCUGCAAGUCUAUUUCUAUAUGAGGAUAUAUUAUCCUACCCCACCUCUACUGUUUUCUUAAUUUCCAUUUAUUUGUAGUUAUUUUAAUAAAAGCUAUUUGGAUUCUGAGAAGUGCUAAGUAGUUGUGAGAGGUCUAUGCAAGUAAGACAGAAAAGCUCAUUGAAUGAAGUUCUCAUUUCUCUCUGAUAGACUGUGCUAGCAAACUGCCUUUUCUUGGUGCUGUUGAAAUAAUUUAGUAGCUCACUAAGGUGCCAGUUUCUCUCCAGAAGGGUGUAAGGUUUUUGAUUGCCUUUUUUUUUUUUUUUUUUUUUUUUUGUCUCAGAGUUGUCUUCUGAGACAGUCAUUACCAAGUUAUUUGUAGGGUUAUCUUUUUUUCACAUGAUGUGGCGGAAGUCAUAACUCAUAAGAUUUAGGUAUAAUCUGGUUUUGAAAACGUGAUUGAAACUGUUGUUUUUUAACUCGGCAGGCAGCCGAGGCCAUGGCUGGAAAGAGAGGGUAAGUCCUUCCUUCCUUGCAUGACGAUGUGUGCAGGGUUCCUGACUACUGAAUUCCUAAUUUUCAUAUUUGAAUUCACAUGUGUGAUU